rnacentral:rRNA from 1 species
GAUGAACGCUGGCGGCGUGCCUAAUACAUGCAAGUCGAGCGAACAGACGAGGCGCUUGCUCCUUCGACGUUAGCGGAGGACGGGUGAGUAACACGUAGGUAACCUACCUAUAAGACUGGGAAAACUUCGGGACACCGGAGCAUAUACCGGAUAAUAUUUCGAACCGCAUGGUUGGAUAGUGAAAGAUGGCUUUGCUAUAACUUAUAGAUGGACAUGAGCCGUAUUAGCUAGUUGGUAAGGUAAAGGCUUACCAAGGCAACGAUACGUAUCCGACCUGAUAGGGUGAUCGGCCACACUGGAGCUUAGACACGGUCCAUACUCCUACGAGAGGCAGCAGUAUGGAAUGUGCCGCAGUAGUCGAGAACCUGGCGGAGCGGCGCCGCGUGAGUGGUGGAAGUCUUCGGAGCGGGAUACUCGGUUAUGAGUUAUGAACAAACGUGUAAGGAACUGUACACGUCGUGACGGUACCUAAUCAGAAAGCCACGGCUAACUACGUG